rnacentral:rRNA from 1 species
UACGUAGGGUGCGAGCGUUGUCCGGAAUUACUGGGCGUAAAGAGCUCGUAGGCGGUUUGUCGCGUCGGGAGUGAAAACGCCGUGCUUAACACGGCGCUUGCUUUCGAUACGGGCAGACUAGAGGUAUGCAGGGGAGAACGGAAUUCCUGGUGUAGCGGUGAAAUGCGCAGAUAUCAGGAGGAACACCGGUGGCGAAGGCGGUUCUCUGGGCAUUACCUGACGCUGAGGAGCGAAAGUGUGGGGAGCGAACAGG